ACGUCGUAACAAGAUUUCCGUAGGUGAACCUGCGGAAGGAUCAUUAACGCUGCCAAAGGGUCCCCAUGCCCCCUAAUAACCCCACAGUUUAAUGUGAAGCUCAAUGUAAUACAUUGGGUAAAAAAACCGAACAACUGUUAACAAUGGAUAUCUUGGUUCUC
rnacentral:misc_RNA from 1 species